rnacentral:rRNA from 1 species
AACCUGGCCCUUAGUAGGGGAUAGCCCGGCGAAAGUCGGAUUAAUACCCUAUGUUCUUCGUAGAGGACAUCUGAAAUGAAGCAAAGAUUAUAUCGCUAAGGGAUGGGGAUGCGUCUGAUUAGGUAGUCGGCGGGGUAACGGCCCACCGAGCCAUCGAUCAGUAGGGUUCUGAGAGGAAGGUCCCCCACAUUGGAACUGAGACACGGUCCAAACUCCUACGGGAGGCAGCAGUGAGGAAUAUUGGUCAAUGGUCGAGAGACUGAACCAGCCAAGUAGCGUGCAGGAUGACGGCCCUAUGGGUUGUAAACUGCUUUUAUGCGGGGAUAAAGUGCGGCACGUGUGCCGUUUUGUAGGUACCGCAUGAAUAAGGACCGGCUAAUUCCGUGCCAGCAGCCGC